rnacentral:rRNA from 1 species
UACGUAGGGUGCAAGCGUUAAUCGGGAUUACUGGGCGUAAAGCGUGCGCAGGCGGUUAUGUAAGACAGGUGUGAAAUCCCAGGGCUUAACCUUGGAACUGCAUUUGUGACUGCAUAGCUAGAGUACGGUAGAGGGGGAUGGAAUUCCGCGUGUAGCAGUGAAAUGCGUAGAUAUGCGGAGGAACACCGAUGGCGAAGGCAAUCCCCUGGACCUGUACUGACGCUCAUGCACGAAAGCGUGGGGAGUAAACGGG